rnacentral:rRNA from 1 species
GCGCACCAGGCGCGAAUCCUCCGCAAUGCUCGAAAGAGCGACGGGGGACUCCAAGUGCCUACGCUCAGCGUAGGCUGUUCCCGAGCCUAAAAGCUCGGGGAGUAAGGGCUGGGUAAGACGGGUGCCAGCCGCCGCGGUAAUACUCGGCAGCCCGAGUGGUGGCCGCUAUUAUUGGGCCUAAAGCGUCCGUAGCCGGCUUCAGUAAAUGCCUGGGUAAAUCG